UUCACCGGCGGAGCAGGCAACCUGCGCGUGCGCCGUCCGAGAAAAUCGCGCCAACCGACAACUGGAUCGCCUGCGCCUCCUCCGGAUCCAAUCCUUCCGUCCGGAAAAAAACAACACCCAGGUCAGACCAGACGAUGCAGUGACUCGCGACCACAAGCCACCAGACAAACCUAGCGACCAGCUAGCCUACACAAACCUGGCAGUCUCUGAAUUAGUAGCGUGAGAUAACAAUGUGCCUGUGCAUCGCCGACCCUCAAAUCCUGCUGGGCGAGAGGGUGGUGGUCGGGGGUCGAGGGUGUUGUUUUCGCCCUGAAAGGGCGAGAUAUCUGCGUCGUCGAUCCGCGCCAUUCCGAAUCGCAAAAGCGCUCCCUGAAACCGCCCUUGGAGUAAAUCGGGGUCGCAAGGGCGAGAGAAUCGACGGGCGAGAAAGUACAAGGGAAAGCCAGGCUGAAGAUCCGGGACGAAGACGUGAGGUGCGGCAUGUCAAAUAUUCCGCGGUCGUCUGGUGCGAAUACGACUGUGCAAUUCGACCCACCCACCUCCUUCCCUGGAAGGUGGAGGGACGAGGCGAUGAUUGACUUGCCCAGGAACAAUAAUCCCUCCGCCAUUUUGCGCCCCCCGCCGCAACUCCCACUCACUUCCAACAAUCUGCCAGGAACACGACUUCGACCAGUAGUACCUGAACCUCCGCCGGCCUCCACACAAGACUCCGAGAUUCAUAAGCCCUACCAUCCGAACUCAUCCUCUGAUAACAGUGGAGCUGGAUGAACACAGCAGGCCAAGCAGCAUCCUCUCCCAGCUUCCAUCUCAUUCCCGUUGUUCGUGUCGGCCAUAUUGAGCCAUCACUCCCUUUGAUAUAAAGACGAUCGGGCCGCCAUCUUACAGGCGGCGGGUAUCGCUCUAACGGCCGAAAGGGCCAGCUCAUACCCCCAGACUAGCAGGGGAAAAUAUGCGACCACCCUCCCUCCUGGCCCCUUACCGUCGGCCAACGCGAAGCUAACAGCCACCGCGGUGCAGGCAACACUUUCGACCUCUCGCUACAGGCUGCUACUGGACACUUCACCACGAUCUCCUCACUGAGGAAAGCCGCGACUCCCGUCAGGCGCAUGCGUGUUGGGUUCGGCGUGUGGGUGUGGGGAGGUGGACCUAGACUGCGCAUGUGCACUACGGAGACGUUAACCUGGAGACGUAUUUGCGCAUGCGGCGUACUCUGCGAGGGAGCCGGCUCUGAGCUCACUGCGCGUGCGUGCUGCUUGAGGCGUUUUGGGGACGGCUCCGUGAAGGAAUGAUGCUAUCUCUGUCAGAGACUGUAUGGAAGUGCCAGCAGUGUUGGUUUUUUUUUGCGGCGCAGAAAGGGAGUUUCAGUACCCACCGACAAGUGAAAAAAAACUUUCCUUCAAUCCACCCUAAGUCUGCUUGUUGACCCGUCUACGAGUGAUGGUGGUGGGGUGUGGUGUUGUGCGUUCUUUCUGUCUGCCCCACAUAUCUUUGCAUGCCUCAAUGAGGUUCACCUCUGGCUAAGACAAACAGGAGGCUGGAAGAACACAGCAGGCCAGGCAGCAUCUGGAAGAAAGGAGCAGUCAAUGUUUCAGUUGGUGUACGUACCCCCUGGGCAACCCGGAGCGGCUUGCGUGACUUGCAGAGAGCAGCAGGAGCUGGGCGGAAGUGAAGUUGAAGCAGAGAGGCAGUUGGGAAGGGAAGUGAUUGUUAUUUAAGCACUUACUUCGAAGCCAGCGGCCCUUUUUUCAGUAGAGAGUGGCGGGAGCUGGACGGAAGUGAAGUCGAAGCAGAGAGGCAGUUGGGAAGGUAAACCCAGGCGUGGAUACAAUUGUGGAAGAAAGGCUGACAGUCUGUAAUUACAACCCCCUCCAAGGGCAGUUAGAGGCAAUCUUAGCAAGGUCCACCGGCAGGUCUAUGUGGAGGCCCUUCAACUUUUCUGCCAACCUGUUGUGCACUUCCCCUGAUGAUCAGGAAUGUGGAGGUAAAGUACAAACAAAAAAAAACAAUGAUGAGUUUCUGAAAUAACUAAAGAUGGGGUGCAAUCAGCCAAAACCUCAGUAUGCAUAUUUGAUGGUCAGACCCUAACCAAAUAUGACAAUUCUCCAGUACAGAAGGGAUUUGAAUCCAGGCUUUAAUACCCAGAGGUAUGGACGUGUACCACAAGUGCCCCUCCACCAAAUUAACUAUUUGUAACAAAACAAGUAACAAGUAUAGCUCACCACAAGCUAUAACCCAAUGCUUUUAACCAGUCCAGCCACAUUAUCACACACAUCUUGGGACUUGAACUCGAGCCUUCUGAAUUAGGAUUAGGGACUCUAUAAGUGUUCCAUGAGUGCCCAGCUCUUGAUUUGUGAACCAUCCUGUUUAUAAAUCCAAUGACAGAACCCUGAAACAGACAAAAUUGAAUCUGGGUCUCUGGCUCAGAGAUAGAGACAUUACCACUGCGCCACACUUGUCAUUUUUAUAAAUCUGCAUCAAAUCAUCUGCUUAUUCUGGCUCAUCUUUUCUGAAGUAAAACAACACCAAAUCACUCAUGUUAUAAGUUAAAGUAACAAGUUACAAACAUUAUUAGUAAUCCCAAUGUUAAAAUUCCUGGAAACAAUGUGUUGUAAUACCAUUGAAUUCCAUGUUAACUUAUCUUAAUUUUUCUUUUGCUAAUGUUUAAUUGAAUAGUAGAGUAGAUUUGACUUUAGAAACACCAUUUAAUUAUGGUGAUAUGUGCAUUGUUAUCAUUCUUGUUUCAUGAUUUCAGGGAUCUGUUUCAUGCUCUAAACUGUGUGAUACAAUUGCCAUCUUGUCUUUGCAUAUAACAUUAAA